rnacentral:rRNA from 1 species
GACGUAGGGCGCGAGCGUUGUCCGGAAUUACUGGGCGUAAAGAGCUCGUAGGUGGUUUGUCGCGUUGUUCGUGAAAACCUGAGGCUUAACCUUGGGCGUGCGGGCGAUACGGGCAGACUGGAGUACUGCAGGGGAGACUGGAAUUCCUGGUGUAGCGGUGGAAUGCGCAGAUAUCAGGAGGAACACCGGUGGCGAAGGCGGGUCUCUGGGCAGUAACUGACGCUGAGGAGCGAAAGCGUGGGGAGCGAACAGG